CUGAGAGCCACCCUUAGCUCCCAGGGGGCACCCAAAGUUGGGCCCUCUCCAUCCUUCACCAAAGACAAACUACACACAUCCCUUCCAGAGCUCUGCCUCUCUGCCACCAGUGCCCCCACUGGAGCCAUCCCCGCAAGGUAAGCUUUGCCCUCCUGGGCUCCCUGACCAUCUGAGGCAUGCCCUGAACCCAGGCUGAGAAGGGCAGGAUCUGAGCCUGCUCUGUGGAGGUCAGGUGAGGCCCACCUCUUCCUGCCCAUGCUGGGAGCUCAGGUGAAGAAACCUCAGGUCCUGAGCCAGGCGCAGGGGCUCACACCUGUAAUCCCAGCACUUUGGGAGGCUGAGGCAGGCGGAUCACUUGAGCCCAAGAGUUUGAGACCAGCCUGGCCAACACGGUGAAACCCUGUCUCUACCAAAAACACAAAAAUUAGCCAGGUGUGGUGGUACACGCCUGUAAUCCCAGCUACUCAGCAGGCUGAGACAUAAGAAUUGCUUGAACCCAGGAGGCGGAGCUUGCAGUGAGCCGAGAUCGCACCACAGCACUCCAGCCUGGGCGACAGAGUGAAACUCCGUCUCAAAAAAAAAAAAAAAGAAAGAAAGAAAUGAAACCUCAGACCUCAGGGGCCGGGUACAGUGGCUCACACCUGUAAUCCCAGAACUUUGGGAGGUCGAGGAGGGCAGAUCACCUGAGAUCAGGAGUUCGAGACCAGCUUGAGCAACAUGGUGAAACCCCGUCUCUACUAAAAACACAAAAAUUAGUCAGGUGUGGUGGUGCGCGCCUGUAAUCCCAGCUACUGGGGAGGGUGAGGCAAGAGAAUCGCUUGAACCCAGACAGCGGAGGUUGUAGUGAGCCAAGAAAGAAAAAGAAAAAGAAACCUCAGGUCUUGAUGCCAGAAGAGAGAAGGGGAGACCCUGUUCCUUGGGUGCCCCCUGACCUCCUGGAGCCCCUGUCCCCAGCCAGACUCAUGCACAAAGGGACCUGCCACUCAGGCCACCCUUUGUUCCUCUAAAAAUACACCCAGAGGAAGCCCCUCCUAGGGCUUCCUGCAGCCCCCAGAGCCUGAAAUAGCAGAGGGGGAAGGUCCCACCCAAGGCAAGGUGCCUGGGCCACUGCACCCUCCAGAUAAAGUCCGAGGGCCGGAUUUUUCCACAGGAAGGUGAACCAUGCGUUUGUGUCCAAAUCAAUGGACAAACGCCUGAGGCAGAGGGGGAGCUUCCUCCUGGGGGAGGGAAGGUGGCUGGGAAAGAGGGAGGCCCCAACCCUCAGCCUGGAGACAGGGGCUUAGGACCAGCCAGCCCCCCUGCAAGGCCAGCCCCCCCACCAGCCCUGGGCUGGGCACCUUGGCCCUGAGCACCACUGUGGCCCGCCCUCAAGCCCCAGGAACAAAACGGGUCCCACAGGUCCCACGGGCAGGCCUGCGCCCAGGCUGGGCUCCCCACAGGGAAUGCUGUCUCCCUGCCAAGCCGCUCCCCCCGGGCUCAGCUCCUAGGGGCAGCCAGCUUCAGCAGUGACGUCUGGGAAAGGGAGAAAGUGAAUGUGUAUAUCCCCUGCACCCUCAGAACUCCAGAUCCCACACCCCUGCCCCAAGCGCGGUUCUCACAGUGGGGUCUGGCCAACCCCUGGACUCAUAUCCCCUGAAGGGAUUUCUUUC
rnacentral:lncRNA from 10 species